CCGUCGAUGAGGCGCUGGCCGAGCUGGGCGAUCUUGCCGCCCACGGUCGAGUGCACGCUGUAGCGCAGUUCGCAACCCCCGUCGACGGG
rnacentral:tRNA from 1 species